UACGUAGGGGGCAAGCGUUGUCCGGAAUCAUUGGGCGUAAAGCGCGCGUAGGCGGCCCUGUAAGUCCGUUGUGAAAGUCAAAGGCUCAACCUUUGAAAGCCGAUGGAUACUGCAGGGCUAGAGUCCGGAAGAGGCGAGUGGAAUUCCUGGUGUAGCGGUGGAAUGCGCAGAUAUCAGGAGGAACACCAAUAGCGAAGGCAGCUCGCUGGGACGGUACUGACGCUGAGGCGCGAAAGCGUGGGGAGCGAACAGG
rnacentral:rRNA from 1 species